ACUGCUCACAAUAUACCAAGAGUAUAAUGUCUUAACAUGACAUUCUUGCUUUUAUAUUCUGGUUAUUUCGAAAUGAAUGCUAACAUGGCAUUUGCCUUCCUCACCACCGACUCAACCGGCAAGUUAACCUUUAGGGAAUCCUGGACGAGGACCCCCAGGUCCCUUUGAAUGGCUGAUUCUUUCUGCACGCAAUGCAUCGAGUCAGAACACUUCCCGCAGUACAUCUGUGGCCAUUUGCUUGUUGACAGGCCAAACCUCUUCAGCCUCCUAAGAAAGUGGAGACGCCAGCACGUCUACCUUGUGAAGUUUGUUAUUUGGAUGUGAGUGUUUGGGAAAGAGGGUCCAGGAAUUGCUUCAUUUGGCGGAGAGAAGUCAGCGCAAAGAUCUUCAGUCAGAACACAAAGGAGAAAUCACUGAGCAGGUUAAAUUCCCUUGCGAGGUUCCUUUGUGUAAAACACCACCCCCCCCUGAAGCCCUCACUCCCUCCAUUCCUCUUCAGAAUCUCUUUCUCUCUCUCCACCUCAUGAUCAAAGCUUCACUGAGUUCUGAGACAUUGUUCUGAAGCCUGAACCAUUGAACCAGAACACAGACACUUAAGCUGUCACGCCAGACACAGUGCGCUUGGUUCCCACAGACCCAACAGCGCCCUGCCUCUCUCCCCAUAGAGGCCUACUAUGUGCAGAUAGGCCCCUCGGCCCACAAAGUCUGUGCUGACUGCAACCAUCAGGCUCCUGAACCAACAUGGAUCACUUCACUCACCCCAAUGGUGAAUCGAUCCCACAACCGACUCACUUUCAAGGCAGAGUUGCUAGCUCGACGCUCAGCCCGGCUUGGAUUCGAACUCAGGAACCUUCGCUCCGGAGUCCGGCACUGAUAUUAUUGCGCCACCAAGCUGGACAGGGACUACAACCAUAGGUCAUAGGUCCAUGGGAGCAGGUGGUGGAUGGUCGUGUGAGCAGCCGGUGCACAUCGCAAGUCCUAUCCGCGCGACCACUGACGCCAGGCAGACAAUCCCUGAAGAGUAUUGAUAACGGCUGGGGUCACCAGUCUGGUAGAGACACUGCACAGAAGAAGGCAAUGGCAAAUCACUUGUAUAGAAAAGUUUGCCAAGAACAAUCAUGGUCUCCAUGAUCACCUCCAUCAUACGACACAAGCACGUAAUGAUGAUGUCAUAUGACACGGCAUGCAAUGAUGAUGUCAUAUGACACGGCAUGUAAUGAUGAUGUCAUCUGACACAGCCCAUAAUGAAGCAAUGAUCAACAACAGCCAUCCUUGCUCAACCACAAACAAGAGAGAUUCUGCAGACACUGUAAAUCGGAGCAACACAUGCAAAAUGCUGGAGGAGCUCAGCAGGCCAGGGAGCAUCUAUGGAAAAGAGUACAGUCGAUGUUUUAGGCCUUGCACAAGCUAUUUUUCUAUUGCACUGGACUUGCCACCUGCCCUAGGACUGCUCCAGAUCUGGAUUUUUUUUCUCCUUGGGGGUUUUACUCCUGAAGCCUUCCCCAUGAGCGGGUAUAGUGGCAAGGCAGCGGGGGUUUGAGAUCAGAGUUUCCCUGCUCCUAGAUGGGCUGCCAACCACGGCCGACGAGCCCCAUCUGCCCGAAGCGACUGGUUUUUAAGGCACCGGUAUCCUGCCUUUGCCCCUUCUGUCAGUAGAAAUGUUUCUGAUGGGUUGAGUACCUAAGCCUCACGUGAGGCCAGGAACUGGACUUGGUUGUCAGAGGCUAUUUGAGAUGUGGGUGGGAGCUUAUCCCCACUAACGUACCGGCUAUGACAAGCUUAAGGAACCAUUACGAAAAAUUUUUGUAUUGAUCAUUAAAAAUUUAAGUUUACGUUGCUAUGUUUGA